GACGAACGCUGGCGGCGUGCUUAACACAUGCAAGUCGAACGAAGAGCGAUGGAAGCUUGCUUCUAUCAAUCUUAGUGGCGAACGGGUGAGUAACGCGUAAUCAACCUGCCCUUCAGAGGGGGACAACAGUUGGAAACGACUGCUAAUACCGCAUACGAUCUAAUCUUGGCAUCGAGGAUAGAUGAAAGGUGGCCUCUACAUGUAAGCUAUCACUGAAGGAGGGGAUUGCGUCUGAUUAGCUAGUUGGAGGGGUAACGGCCCACCAAGGCGAUGAUCAGUAGCCGGUCUGAGAGGAUGAACGGCCACAUUGGGACUGAGACACGGCCCAGACUCCUACGGGAGGCAGCAGUGGGGAAUCUUCCGCAAUGGACGAAAGUCUGACGGAGCAACGCCGCGUGAGCGAUGACGGCCUUCGGGUUGUAAAGCUCUGUUAAUCGGGACGAAAGGCCUUCUUGCGAAUAGUGAGAAGGAUUGACGGUACCGGAAGAGAAAGCCACGGCUAACUACGUG
rnacentral:rRNA from 1 species